UGGUUCCCGUACGAUCACCAAAGAUAAGCAACGUCAAGCCUGAUCUGUACUUAGAUGGGUGACCACUUGGGAAUACCAGGUGUUGUAA